GCAAGUCGAACGGCAGCACGGGAGCAAUCCUGGUGGCGAGUGGCGAACGGGUGAGUAAUACAUCGGAACGUGCCCAAUCGUGGGGGAUAACGUAGCGAAAGCUACGCUAAUACCGCAUACGAUCUACGGAUGAAAGCGGGGGAUCGCAAGACCUCGCGCGAUUGGAGCGGCUGAUGGCAGAUUAGGUAGUUGGUGGGGUAAAGGCUCACCAAGCCGACGAUCUGUAGCUGGUCUGAGAGGACGACCAGCCACACUGGGACUGAGACACGGCCCAGACUCCUACGGGAGGCAGCAGUGGGGAAUUUUGGACAAUGGGCGCAAGCCUGAUCCAGCAAUGCCGCGUGCAGGAUGAAGGCCUUCGGGUUGUAAACUGCUUUUGUACGGAGCGAAAAGCCCCUUUCUAAUAAAGAGGGGUCAUG
rnacentral:rRNA from 1 species